UUUUGCCCUAAUCUCCCACUGUCACGACGAGCAGCGCCUGACUGUUUGAUAACUCUUCUCAUCAAAAACUUACUCCCUAAAAUUUAUCCAUUAAAAAUUUUCAAUUUCACCGCCGUAAAAUGGCUAAAAAGGCAGGAAAACUAACAGAUUUACCGACUGCAUGUCGGUUUGCAGUUUUAGAUGUUAGUGAUGACGAGGAUAGCUCCGAUGAAUCAAGCUCGAAAACAAAUGCGAAGCCAACAGACACCACGGCUGCCACGAGCAAAAAUAAAAAGAAGAGAAACAGACGCAAAAAAAGCAAAAGCAAGACAAGUGAAGCUACUGAAAACCCUGAAGGAGCAUCAGAGAUCCCUCCAGAACUUCAAGAAUGGCAGAUGUGGCAAAGCAAAGACGAACAGCUAGUGCUUGAGCAGUUUCAGAAGGACUUAAAGGAAGCUCUCCAAGCAAGCAAGGCUGAGAGUAUAAACAAACGGGUUGAGUCCCAGGCUACUUCUAGUAAACCAAAGAAAAAAGAAAAGCCUGUGUCAAUGUCACUGGAUGAGUUUGUUAGUGGAAGUGUACCCAGCGGCCAUGAGAAAACCAACUUCCACACAAAUGGGAACAUAGUUCAUGAGAUAUCUGCAUUAGAUACCUUUUUGGAUGAUUUCAAUGAGCCAGAAGAAAAGCCAGAGAAAAUAAAAUCAAGGAAAAAGACAAAAAGCAAAUCAGAUGAUAAGAUGAACUCUAAGUCAGAGAUUAAGAAAGUCAUUGUCAAGGGCACACCUGAAGAAUUCAUCAAAGCUGAAAUGGUGCACAUACAAGAGAAGCUGGAAGAAAAAGAUGAGGCUGUUACAGAUCUGCACAAAACCGUCAGAGAACAGCAAGACCUCAUAGAACAGCUUCAGAAAGAGCUGGCUCAAGUGAAGAAGAGGAAUAAACAGCUGUGCUUCAUGCUAGCUCAAGGAGAAAUGAAAGAAAAGUCAGAACUUUUACUGCAGAUAGAAGAGCUCAAUGAAGUCAAAGAGCAGGUUGUCCAACUAAGCAAAGAGUUAGAACAGGAAAGAUCAAAAUCCUCCUCUUUAAAACACGAGUUAGCCAAAUUACAGAGCAUGUCAUCUCGGGGACGACAUGGCUCGACGUCAUGACAAAAGCCUGUAAAGUGCACAUGAUUGACAGCUCUCCAUCACAGCUGCGUUCAUCAGGGAGGUGUUCUCAAUUGAAGGCGCUCAUCAAGAAAACUACGUUUAGCACCCUUUCAAGUGCAACUAAGUGUUGACAGUUUUUUUUCCAGUGUGCAAGUCUUCAAGAUUCUUUGACGAACGAUCGCUCUGGGCUUGGCGUUCGCAAAUAUUCGUUAAUACUCCGAGAGGCUCUAUACAAACCCUGCUACCUUGGUAAAGUUGGGUUUCUUUGGAAACAAAACUUUUAAUAUAAAACAUUAAUAUAAUAUCUUAGUUUCCAGAGUAUGCUAUAUAAACGGUUUUAACCGUUUUAGUCAAAUUCGUGGAAACGGUUUAAAAGAUUCAAUCAACGUUUAUUGGUCCAUACUCACAUGCAAUUUUACUUAUUGUCUAAGAUACAUUUUUUUCCUUGUCAAAAAAGAAUGACAGCUGAAAUGUAUCAUUGAAUUGCCGCCAGCGCAAUUCAGUAUAUAGAUAGAAGCAGUGCCUCAACACGAAGUCGAGGUCGUUAUUGGUAAGAAUUAGCGCCAUUUCCGUGUGAUAGAAGCGGCUUGACGCGUACCUCGACACGAAAACGAGGUCGUUAUUGGUAGGAAUAAGCGCCAUUUCUGCGUCGUUAUUGGUAGGAAUAAGCGCCAUUUCUGCGUGAAAGAAGCAGUGCCUCGACACGAAGUCGAGGUAGUUACUGAUAAGAAUAAGCGCCAUUUCCGCAUGAUAGAAGCAGCGUGACGCGUACCUCGACACGAAGUCGAGGUCGUUACUGGCAAGAAUAAGCGCCAUUUCCGCGUGAUAGAAGCGGCGUGACGCGUACCUCGACACGAAGACGAGGUCGUUAUUGGUAAGAAUUAGCGCCAUUUCCGCGUGAUAGAAGUAGUGCCUCGACACGAAGACGAGGCCGUUAUUGGUAAGAAUUAGCGCCAUUUCCGCGUGAUAGAAGCAGUGCCUCGACACGAAAACGAGGUUCGUUAUUGGUUAGAAUUAGCGCCAUUUCCGCGUGAUAGAAGCAGUGCGUAAACACGAAGUCGAGGUCGUUAUUGGUAAGAAUUAGCGCCAUUUCCGCGUGAUAGAAGCAGUGCCUCGACACGAAAACGAGGUUCGUUAUUGGUUAGAAUUAGCGCCAUUUCCGCGUGAUAGAAGCAGUGCCUAAACACGAAGUCGAGGUCGUUAUUGGUAAGAAUUAAGAAUUAGCGCCAUUUCCGCGUGUAAUAGAAGCGGCGUGAAGCGUACCUCGACACGAAGUCGAGGUCGUUAUGAACAACAACCAGACUUUUUGAUUACCUUACUUUACAACUUUACCUUGGUUCACCAUUUUUUUCCCUUACAACUGAAACCCCGGUUGUCUACGAUUAUCUUCUUUUAAUAAGUUAAACCCAAAUCUUGUUAUACUCAAUUAUACCCCCUUAUAGCCAUAUCAACCUAAUAAGCGCCCCAAUGAGUGAUGUUCUAUAUAGUUUUUAAAAAGGAAUCGAAAAAGUAUAUAUAACCUUUCAGAAUUGAUAGAUUUGGUCAUUUUGUGACGUAGAUCGAGAUGUAAAUUAAAUUACAAGGGGAAGUAUAUGCGCCCUAUAUUAGUUCCCGUCUUCAUGUCUUCCUAUUUAUUGCUGAAGAUCGUUGUGUGUUUCGUUAUGCGGUUUUCGUUAUUUCAUUCCCAGAAAUAAGAGACAACAUGGCCGCCACGUAUGCGUAGUGCAUAUACAAUGUCAAAAUGGCUGCCAUUUAUUAUAAGGAAAUGUGGGGAGACAUCACAAUUUAUAGUCAAAAGUAGUCGUUUAAAAGGUAGAACUGUUCGCUGCAUCACAGGUGCAGGACUCGAAAUUGGUAAAUCGACUAUCCUUCCAUCAAAUUGGCCAAUAAAAUAGGCAGUAGCGCCUCCCAAUCUUGUUCCCGAAGAAAUAACAUUUGAUGUAGUUAUGCCUAGUUCAGGAACCAUUAUUGUUGUCUUUAAGAUACAGACUGAAGCAAGGAAAACGGUGCGCUCCGCAAGAACAACUUCUCUCCGGUCGUCCGUUCUCCAUUUUGUUUUUAAACGGCCCCACGGCUUUCUGGGAUAGACACAGGGGAACCAUAAAGCCUUUCUAAAAUAUAUAUUUUUUUUAUUUGCGCAUGUAAUGUUUUCUUAAGCUUCUGAAUGUCACCAGUUCUCAAUUUGCUAAAACGUCACGGUAAAUUGUCAACCUUGUGAGUUCAAAGUAUUCUAUAUUAAGUUUAGAAAGGUCAUCGAGGAACUUUCCCGACUGUCGGGCAUAUAGCCACUGAUUUUCUUUUUUCGCAUAUAAUUCUCUCCUAUAAAUGGUUUUUGUUUCAUUGUGGGUCGCAUUGCAUUGCAAAACUUUUUGUCAAUAUUUUGUGGUAUUACCGUCUUAGAAUUUUAACGAAUUUUAGAUUUUCCCGCCAAAACUUGAAAUUAUACACUCGAUUCAUAAUAUCCUUUCGCGGGGCCAAGAAAAAUUUUCAAAGCUCUGUUGCAAACUCAAAUUUAAUUUCCUUUUCAGAAAGCUCAUCUAUGCUUUCUAUACUUCCUAUAACUGAAUGGUUAUAAAAACUUUAAAGUUCUUAUAAAAGUUCUUUAAAAUGGAGCAUUUCAAUUUUUGUGCCCCCCUUCCCCUCGCUAUGAUGAAAAAAUUGCCACCUCUAAAUACCCAACCCCAUACCCCCCUUCCCAUGAUAAUUUACCCCCUUCUUCCCACCACACUGCCAUGUUAUUAGCAUGUUUGCCUACCUUACCGCCACAAUGAAAAAUCCAAGUGGUUUAUUAGUUACGUAAUACAAUAUCGUACAAAGUGUUCCGAGGGGGGACGGCACAGGGUUUCCGUUACAGUUUUCCUUUUUAGCCAGUUAUCUGCCUGCCAUCAAAAGACAUUGAAAGGGGUAUGUGGAAACACAUAUUAUCACUGAGCUUAUAGCCGAGCCAGCGCGCGGAGCUCCAUGGGUAUGCGACUGAGUUUUUUUUGUCAAUGCGCGGGGGUCCUGUGGUUCUGCCUCGCCUGCCUGCCCGCGCCAACUGUGUAACCACGCUUAGCUGACACGGUGUCGUCACCACUCUAGAAAAACACAAACUUCCAAUAAUCUUAGGAGUGGGAAAAUUAUUUGAGAAACUCUACCACAGUCAUGAAUUGCUUAAAUCAAAGAAUCUACAAUUCUCUCUGAGUCCGCUGUCGAAUUUCCCCUCCAACAAACUGGUUAUCACACGGCGGAAGAUUACACUACCGAUUCACAAAAUGGAAAUGAAAAAAGUCGAUAAAAGAGUCUUUACAAAAAGCCUAAAA